CCUACUUUUUCCUUCAAACCAAACACAGCAUUACUUCCCCAAUUCUACCUGAGGUCCCUCUGGGCUCCGGCAAAAGAUAGCGGUAAAAUGUCCAUUGCUUCGGCUGAAAUGGGAGAGCAACUCUCUUGAUGCAGUCAAGUUAUAAUGUUUGCUAGUUCUUAAAUGGUAUAACUCUUCUUGGGUCUCAUCUAUUCUUGGUGUGGAUCUGAUAGUUGGAGAUGAUUGAGGUGGUUCAACUCCAUUUAUUUUAUCCAAGUUAUGCCCGUCAACCUCUAUAUAUGAUUGGGGUGGUUCAACUCCAUUUAUUUUAUCCAAGCUAUGUCCCUCAACCUCUAAACUCAGUUGAUUUUCUUUUAGAAUUAUAAAAUUCAUCUCUGAAUUUGUUUUUCUGUAUUUCUUUCUUGAAAUAUCUAUAGUGUGCUUAUCGAAAACCUUAAAUUUUAUGUUCAGUUCCAUCCAAAACCUUUAUUUAUUAAUUGAAGAAGCCCCAAAUAAACUUAUAAGUUGCUUUAGUCAUCCAUUUCUAUUUACUCAACCAAUUUAGUUUGAACUUGUUUGUCACUAUCCUUUCUCCUCAAAGGAUAGCUGUAACUAACUAUGCCAGUUACCAAAACUCUGGACCUGGUCAGCUGUACACUUUUAGGUUCAAGAUCUAGAGUUUGAUAAUUCCUGAUUUGAGCUGUGGCUCCAUCUCAUCCACUGACAUAGCUUGGGUCUCUCAUUCAAGGUCCAGCUCGUAAAUUUGUUUUUCUAAAUGUGGAUAUUGGGUUCUGGGUUUAGGGAUAAUAAAAGAUAAAUACUCGGGAUUUAUUUCCAAGGAAACAAUCAUAGGUUUAGAUCACAUUUUGGAAAUAGGAUUAUGUGUUUGUGUACAUUGGCAUGUUUUUGUUAGCAAACAAUAAUUUGGUUGAAUGACUGGAGAAUUAAGUACUGAUGAUUGAUGGUUGCAAUUGGUGAUUCUUAAAUCUAAGAAUUAAGGAGUAAUAAGGCGGUUCGGGCUUGGAUGGGAUAAACUAUUUCAGAUCUUUCUUUAAGAAAAAUGGAAGGAGCAAAGAAAGGUCUAGAAAAUAAAGAAAGAAUGGAUCUGCUGGAAAUUUUCCAAUGACAGAAAAGAAGUUUAAGUGGCUGACCCAAGAGCUGGGGAUAUAAAGAGUCUGAUGGAUUAGGGUUUGGGAACAUUUAGAAGAGGAAUUCGGUGCUGUUAGGGAAAUGGUUGUGGAGAUUACUGAAGGAUAAGGACAAACUGUUGACAAAGGUGAUUGAUUAUAAGCAUCCAUCCUCACUUUCUACCCUUUGUUAGAACCUGUGUUCUGGGGAUCGGGUAAGAUUUUUGGAACAUGUGUGGGUGGGGAAUUCACCACUUAAAGACCAGUUUCCUUUGUUAUAUAUUCUCUUUUUAGUUACAAAAAUGAGCCUAUUUCCACCUUUCUAUCCUCUUCUUCUCUAGGGCCUGAACUAAAUUGGGCUUCAGAGACACUCAGAUGUGGAUAAUGUCUUGCUUUGAUCCAAAUUCUCCAAAAGGUUCUGUUGGAUCCCUCUAAGUUGGACUCUUGAAUUUGGACCCUCUCUUCUUUUGGAUCGUUUACUUGUGCCUCCUUCAAAGCACUUUCACAUCCUUCUUCCAGUGGUGAAUCUUGUUACCACUUAUUUAUUUCCUGCCUAUUUGCUUCUUCUAUUUGGGAUUGGUUUCUUUCUUUGUUUGGCUGUAGGUGGACUCCCCCACCAAGUCUACAAAGUCUCUUUGAUUCUUUUGCUGAUUGCUGGACGAAAAAGAGGGGAAGAAUAUUGUAGAGAUGCAUAAGGGCAGCGGUUUGUUGGACAGUUUGGGUGGAAAGAAACCAAAGAAUUUUUGCCAAAAAAGAGAGAAGUAAAGAGGCAAUCAUAGAAGUGAUCACUUCUAGGGUGGUGCACUGGGUAAAAACAGUGGAGAUAUUCAAGGACAGCCAUACAGAGACAUUGCUAAACAAUUGGAAGGAAAUGACAGCAUCUGCUUCAAGCAAAAGUGUUGCUCAGCCUCUAUGGUCUCCACCUUGUGCAGAUUUGUCAUGCUAAACUUUGAUGGAAGCAGUGAAGGUAACCCUGGUCCAUCAGGGAUUAGAUGAGUUUUUAAGGACGAAUAAAGGUUCUAUCAUUAGCAUUGUUCUCAGGCCCAAUUGGGGUGGGGGACUCGUUGCGUGCAUUAUGGCUUUGAUGGAAGGUGUGAAAAGAGCUACGGAACUAAGUGUUAGCAAGCUGAUCAUUGAGGGAGAUUCUAAGGUGGUAAUAAAUUGGUUAGGGAUGGAAGUGAUGGAUUGUGAGCAUACAUUAAUGAAUGAAGGCACUUCACGUGGCUAACUCAGGGUAUGGAGGUGAGAGUGCAAUGGGUCAAAAGAUGUGCCAAUUCAUUUGUAGAUGAACUUGCUAAAUAAGUAGGGGGAGUUGAAAGAGUUUACCUCCACACACUUUUGUAAUUGAGUAUUUCUCAUUACUGAAAACUUCUGUUAUUGAUCAGAAAAAUAAAAAAUGGAGAUAAAGCUGCAAUGGGUGAAGAGGAGUGCUAAUUCUUUUGCUGAUGCACUUAGAAGGAUAAUUUUAUUUUGGGAUUUGUUGUAACCUGAACUUGUUUUUGGGGAGGGUUAAGAGAGUUUACCCCUCCCUUUACUUGUAUUUGUUCUCUCUUAAUUUCAAUAAAAGUUUAUGUUAUUGAUAAAAAAGUGUGGAUCUCUAAAAGAAAUUACGGAAAGUGUACUAGAUUUGGAAAUAAUUAAUAUUCAAAGAAGAUUGAGGCUGACUUGCACAGUCCUAAUAGAAAUAAUGGACUUACCUCUGUUUAAUCCCUUGGAAGUUGGAGUCCUAUUAGCCAAUGAUGUACACAAAGUUGCAUAGACUGUACAUGAUCCUACUACCUAACAAUAAGAAGUCCAAUAGGGUUCAUGCAACUUUCCUUUCCAACUCCUACUUAUACCCUACCAAUUACUGAGUAGGUCUUAUACAAUUCCAGAAAACAAAUCAGGAAUCUACUUGAGUAUUGAAACAUUAAAGUAAAACCCUGAACUAGAAACUAUGGCAUUGGACUUGUAAGCUUCUUAUAGGAUUUUGAUCCAAUGCUUAUAUUACAGUCUUGUUUCAUUCUGCCAAAUGACAUUCUCUACUUUUAUCUGGUUCACAAUCUUAUUGGCCAUGAAAUUUAAUAUAGCUAUUCAGUUGCCUUUUCUGUUAGAAUUGUUAUCUUGCUUGUUAUCUGGAGCUUUUCAAUCUUUAUUAUGAGAAAUAGGUUCCCUGGUGUGAUUUCCUAAUAUUUGACUUCCAUUUUCUUUUAAAAUAUAUCUUUGCAGUUUAAUUAAAACAGUUUCUCAUUUAAUAAGCACGCAAUGAUGGUUGUGCUUAGAUCAUGCUUUCCUUUUUCCAGAUGACAGAAUGCAAAGGAAAAGCUGUUCAACCUAUUGUUACAGUUGUCUGGCUGUUGGCAGCUUAUAUCAGCACAGAUUGACAAGGCUUCAAAGACCAAGAUUAAAACAAUAUCAAAUGAUCACCAAUUGGAUGAAACUGAAGAUGACGGUGAUGAUGUAGAUGAAUGUGUAUGGGAAAGAGUAAGAAUUAUCACAAAGUGAUAGUGAGGACAAUAAUUAAGAGAAUAAUAGGAUAAAGCAGUUUAUGUGCCAAAGUGUAAGAGAGGCAUUCUCCACUACCUAGAGGCAUGAGGCGUAGUUCAGAAGUUCAAAAUUUAUGCCAGAACAAUUCUUCAGCUACUUUCUCAUCAUUUCCCUCACCUGUAUGGUUCACUUCUUAUGGCAAUCUUCUAUCAAUAUUAUUCAAGCUUUCCUGUCUUGGUCUGCAAAUGUUAUUUUAAUAUUUUUGUACUAUUCUCUGAUCACCAAGUGGGAAAUAUUUUUGUUUUUUUUUUGUUUUUUAAUUUCUUUUGGACAAAUUGAUAUCAGUUGAAUGUUAGUUUUUGUGAUUGUGCUUUAUGGUUUUGAACCAAUC